CCCACGGGGGCCAGAAUGGACUAGAGUGGGCCCUGACAGAGUGCUGAGCAGGGCUAGGCUAAGGCAGGAAUUGUGGAUUUUAGGGGAGGAGUUUUGGUCGGAGGAUAUUUAAGUUUGGUGAUCACAGGGGUUUUACAGGACAAUGACUGUUAAAUAAAACGGCUGUGGCCUUUUCAAACCCA